AAGACCAUACUUUCAGGGAUCACAUCUAUACUUUGUUAUUAAAGAAGUUUUCCUGAACACGUCAAGUACCAGAAGCCAUGAGGGCGUGACACAAUAUUCUCUCCUGAGCUUGAAGCCGGCUCUUGGUGUUGUUUCAGUGCAAAUGCCAUUUGUCAUUGAUGAUCAUUCUUACUCUUCUAAGGGGGAAUAAGAGGGAGAGGACACAGUCUGUGUGGU
rnacentral:snoRNA from 1 species